rnacentral:rRNA from 1 species
CCUUCGGGUUGUAAAGCACUUUCAGCGGGGAGGAAGGCGGUGAGGUUAAUAACCUCACCGAUUGACGUUACCCGCAGAAGAAGCACCGGCUAACUCCGUGCCAGCAGCCGCGGUAAUACGGAGGGUGCAAGCGUUAAUCGGAAUUACUGGGCGUAAAGCGCACGCAGGCGGUCUGUCAAGUCGGAUGUGAAAUCCCCGGGCUCAACCUGGGAACUGCAUUCGAAACUGGCAGGCUAGAGUCUUGUAGAGGGGGGUAGAAUUCCAGGUGUAGCGGUGAAAUGCGUAGAGAUCAAGCGGUGGAGCAUGUGGUUUAAUUCGAUGCAACGCGAAGAACCUUACCUGGUCUUGACAUCCACAGAACUUUCCAGAGAUGGAUUGGUGCCUUCGGGAACUGUGAGACAGGUGCUGCAUGGCUGUCGUCAGCUCGUGUUGUGAAAUGUUGGGUUAAGUCCCGCAACGAGCGCAACCCUUAUCCUUUGUUGCCAGCGGUUAGGCCGGGAACUCAAAGGAGACUGCCAGUGAUAAACUGGAGGAAGGUGGGGAUGACGUCAAGUCAUCAUGGCC